GUCGGGAUAGCUCAGUUGGUAGAGCAGAGGAC
rnacentral:tRNA from 15 species